CCUACGGGUGGCAGCAGUGAGGAAUAUUGGUCAAUGGGCGUAAGCCUGAACCAGCCAAGUCGCGUGAGGGAUGAAGGCCCUACGGGUCGUAAACCUCUUUUAUAAGGGAAUAAAGUGUGGGACGUGUCCCAUUUUGUAUGUACUUUAUGAAUAAGGAUCGGCUAACUCCGUGCCAGCAGCCGCGGUAAUACGGAGGAUCCGAGCGUUAUCCGGAUUUAUUGGGUUUAAAGGGUGCGUAGGUGGGUUUUUAAGUCAGUGGUGAAAGUUUGCGGCUCAACCGUAAAAUUGCCGUUGAUACUGGCAGCCUUGAGUACGGUUGAGGUAGGCGGAAUGCGUGGUGUAGCGGUGAAAUGCUUAGAUAUCACGCAGAACCCCGAUUGCGAAGGCAGCCUACCAA
rnacentral:rRNA from 1 species